rnacentral:rRNA from 1 species
UUUCUACAGGCUUAACACAUGCAAGUCGAGGGGCAGCAUGAACUUAGCUUGCUAAGUUUGAUGGCGACCGGCGCACGGGCGAGUAACACGUAUCCAACCUGCCGAUGACUCGGGGAUAGCCUUUCGAAAGAAAGAUUAAUACCCGAUGGCAUAGUUCUUCCGCAUGGUAGAACUAUUAAAGAAUUUCGGUCAUCGAUGGGGAUGCGUUCCAUUAGGUUAUUGGCGGGGUAACGGCCCACCAAGCCUUCGAUGGAUAGGGGUUCUGAGAGGAAGGUCCCCCACAUUGGAACUGAGACACGGUCCAAACUCCUACGGGAGGCAGCAGUGAGGAAUAUUGGUCAAUGGACGAGAGUCUGAACCAGCCAAGUAGCGUGAAGGAUGACUGCCCUAUGGGUUGUAAACUUCUUUUAUACGGGAAUAAAGUGAGGCACGUGUGCCUUUUUGUAUGUACCGUAUGAAUAAGGAUCGGCUAACUCCGUGCCAGCAGCCGCGGUAAUACGGAGGAUCCGAGCGUUAUCCGGAUUUAUUGGGUUUAAAGGGAGCGUAGGCGGACGCUUAAGUCAGUUGUGAAAGUUUGCGGCUCAACCGUAAAAUUGCAGUUGAUACUGGGUGUCUUGAGUACAGUAGAGGCAGGCGGAAUUCGUGGUGUAGCGGUGAAAUGCUUAGAUAUCACGAAGAACUCCGAUUGCGAAGGCAGCCUGCUGGACUGUAACUGACGCUGAUGCUCGAAAGUGUGGGUAUCAAACAGGAUUAGAUACCCUGGUAGUCCACACAGUAAACGAUGAAUACUCGCUGUUUGCGAUAUACAGUAAGCGGCCAAGCGAAAGCGUUAAGUAUUCCACCUGGGGAGUACGCCGGCAACGGUGAAACUCAAAGGAAUUGACGGGGGCCCGCACAAGCGGAGGAACAUGUGGUUUAAUUCGAUGAUACGCGAGGAACCUUACCCGGGCUUAAAUUGCAGAUGAAUUACGGUGAAAGCCGUAAGCCGCAAGGCAUCUGUGAAGGUGCUGCAUGGUUGUCGUCAGCUCGUGCCGUGAGGUGUCGGCUUAAGUGCCAUAACGAGCGCAACCCUUGUUGUCAGUUACUAACAGGUUCCGCUGAGGACUCUGACAAGACUGCCAUCGUAAGAUGUGAGGAAGGUGGGGAUGACGUCAAAUCAGCACGGCCCUUACACCCAGGGCUACACACGUGUUACAAUGGCCGGUACAGAGGGCCGCUACCAGGUGACUGGAUGCCAAUCUCAAAAGCCGGUCGUAGUUCGGAUUGGAGUCUGUAACCCGACUCCAUGAAGUUGGAUUCGCUAGUAAUCGCGCAUCAGCCAUGGCGCGGUGAAUACGUUCCCGGGCCUUGUACACACCGCCCGUCAAGCCACGGAAGCCGGGGGUGCCUGAAGUCCGUAACCGCGAGGAUCGGCCUAGGGCAAAACUGGUAACUGGGGCUAA